CUUGCUGGGUGGAUCAGUGGCGAACGGGUGAGUAACACGUGAGCAAUCUGCCCUUGACUCUGGGAUAAGCGCUGGAAACGGCGUCUAAUACUGGAUAUGAACUGUGGCCGCAUGGUCGGCAGUUGGAAAGAAUUUCGGUCAAGGAUGAGCUCGCGGCCUAUCAGCUUGUUGGUGAGGUAAUGGCUCACCAAGGCGUCGACGGGUAGCCGACCUGAGAGGGUGACCGGCCACACUGGGACUGAGACACGGCCCAGACUCCUACGGGAGGCAGCAGUGGGGAAUAUUGCACAAUGGGCGCAAGCCUGAUGCAGCAACGCCGCGUGAGGGAUGACGGCCUUCGGGUUGUAAACCUCUUUUAGCAGGGAAGAAGCGAAAGUGACGGUACCUGCAGAAAAAGCACCGGCUAACUACGUGCCAGCAGCCGCGGUAAUACGUAGGGUGCAAGCGUUAUCCGGAAUUAUUGGGCGUAAAGAGCUCGUAGGCGGUUUGUCGCGUCUGCUGUGAAAACUGGAGGCUCAACCUCCAGCCUGCAGUGGGUACGGGCAGACUAGAGUGCGGUAGGGGAGAUUGGAAUUCCUGGUGUAGCGGUGGAAUGCGCAGAUAUCAGGAGGAACACCGAUGGCGAAGGCAGAUCUCUGGGCCGUAACU
rnacentral:rRNA from 1 species